AUUGAACGCUGGCGGCAUGCCUUACACAUGCAAGUCGAACGGUAACGCGGGGCAACCUGGCGACGAGUGGCGAACGGGUGAGUAAUGUAUCGGAACGUGCCCAGUUGUGGGGGAUAACUGCUCGAAAGAGCAGCUAAUACCGCAUACGACCCGAGGGUGAAAGCGGGGGAUCGCAAGACCUCGCGCAAUUGGAGCGGCCGAUAUCAGAAUUAGGUAGUGGGUGGGGUAAAGGCUCACCAAGCCAACGAUCUGUAGCUGGUCUGAGAGGACGACCAGCCACACUGGGACUGAGACACGGCCCAGAAUCCUACGGGAGGCAGCAGUGGGGAAUUUUGGACAAUGGACGCAAGUCUGAUCCAGCCAUGCCGCGUGCGGGAAGAAGGCCUUCGGGUUGUAAACCGCUUUUGUCAGGGAAGAAACGCUCUGGGUUAAUACCUCGGGGUAAUGACGGUACCUGAAGAAUAAGCACCGGCUAACUACGUGCCAGCCGCCGCAGUAAGAC
rnacentral:rRNA from 1 species